rnacentral:rRNA from 1 species
GACGAACGCUGGCGGCGUGCCUAAUACAUGCAAGUUGAGCGCUGAAGGUUGGUACUUGUACCAACUGGAUGAGCAGCGAACGGGUGAGUAACGCGUGGGGAAUCUGCCUUUGAGCGGGGGACAACAUUUGGAAACGAAUGCUGAUACCGCAUAAAAACUUUAAACACAAGUUUUAAGUUUGAAAGAUGCAAUUGCAUCACUCAAAGAUGAUCCCGCGUUGUAUUAGCUAGUUGGUGAGGUAAAGGCUCACCAAGGCGAUGAUACAUAGCCGACCUGAGAGGGUGAUCGGCCACAUUGGGACUGAGACACGGCCCAAACUCCUACGGGAGGCAGCAGUAGGGAAUCUUCGGCAGUGGACGAAAGUCUGACCGAGCAACGCCGCGUGAGUGAAGAAGGUUUUCGGAUCGUAAAACUCUGUUGGUAGAGAAGAACGUUGGUGGGAGUGGAAAGCUCAUCAAGUGACGGUAACUACCCAGAAAGGGACGGCUAACUACGU